UUCGGAAGGGAAGUGUUUAUUAGAUAAAAAACCCAAUCNCCCUUUCGGGCUUUUUGGUGAUUCAUGAUAACUUUACGGUUCGCAUAGCCUUGCGNCUGGCGACNGGUUCAUUCAAANNNUUUCUGNCCCUAUCAACNUUUCGAUGGUAAGGUAUUNGGCUUANCCAUGGUUUCAACGGGUAACGGGGNAAUUAGGGUUCGAUUCCGGAGAGGGAGCCUGAGNAAACGGCUACCACAUCCAAGGAAGGCAGCAGGCGCGCNAAAUUACCCAAUCCCGACACGGGGAGGUAGUGACAAUAAAUACUGAUACAGGGCUCUUUUGGGUCUUGUAAUUGGAAUGAGUACAAUUUAAACCUCUUAACGAGGAACAAUUGGAGGGCAAGUCUGGUGCCAGCAGCCGCGGUAAUUCCAGCUCCAAUAGCGUAUAUUAAAGUUGUUGCAGUUAAAAAGCUCGUAGUUGAAACUUGGGCCUGGCUGGCGGGUCCGCCUCACCGCGUGCACUCGUCCGGCCGGGCCNUUCCUUCUGAAGAACCUCAUGCCCUUCACUGGGCGUGCUNGGGGAAUCAGGACUUUUACUUUGAAAAAAUUAGAGUGUUCAAAGCAGGCCUUUGCUCGAAUACGUUAGCAUGGAAUAAUAAAAUAGGGCGUGCGUUUCUAUUUUGUUGGUUUCUAGAGACGCCGCAAUGAUUAACAGGAACAGUCGGGGGCAUCAGUAUUCAGUUGUCAGAGGUGAAAUUCUUGGAUUUACUGAAGACUAACUACUGCGAAAGCAUUUGCCAAGGAUGUUUUCAUUAAUCAGUGAACGAAAGUUAGGGGAUCGAAGACGAUCAGAUACCGUCGUAGUCUUAACCGUAAACUAUGCCGACUAGGGAUCGGGCGAUGUUCUUUUUCUGACUCGCUCGGCACCUUACGAGAAAUCAAAGU
rnacentral:rRNA from 1 species